ACACAUACAAACACUUAGCCAAAUAAAAUGAAAACAUAAAAGUGUAAAACCCCAGCUUAGCUUUUCCCUUCUUCACGCCACCCCCAACCCAGAGAAGACUCUGCGCCAUCACCACUCACUAUAACAUCCCUAAUUUCUAACCCAAAAUCCCCAAACUAACUCAGAAAAUCCUAAUUUCCCCGAUUCCUAACCCUAACAGCCGCAACCUCACCCUCCUUCAACGUAACAAACAAAAGCAGCCACUGUAGAGAGAAGAAGGACCGGGAGAAGAAGAGAAGAGAGGAAAGGCCUGCCCAGCCGUCACCACCGCAGCGCCGCUGCAGCUAUUGCCACCUUCAGAGCUGCGGAAAGUCGUCCUCCCUGCCGUCGAAUGCCGUAGUUGCUGCGAUUGGAGCCACUAGCGGGGGUGAGUUGCUACUGCCUUGUUGCCGUCCUAAUCAUAUUCAACGUCCACUGCCCUGAGCUGUUUCUGCCCUUCAGUUUGUUGAGUUCGGAUUCUUUGUGCUACUGUAACUGUCAUUACUGAGGUGGGAACCAACGUUUCUGUUUGGCUGCUGCUGAAGGUCUUCCACCAUCACUGGAGCUGCCCAGAAUCAUCGUGGAAGCUGCCAAGAUAUAUGGAUGCUGGUUUCAAUCGUAAUCAUUCCAGUGAAGUUUCUUCUCCGGUUGCUGGGCACUUUCCAGGUUAUAUGGACUAUCAAGUAGGAAUGAGACCACAGAUCCCUGUUGAGAGAAAAUGGGCCCUCGGGAUUCAGGUAGAGGAGCGUGGUGUUCCAGUGGAAGAAUUGUUAGAAGCUGAUGAAGUUUUCUGCACCGGAACUGCUGUGGUUAUCAACCCUGUUUUCUCUGUAACCUAUUGGGAUUGUGAUACUGAUUUCUGGUGGCAUGUAUCAAUGAAUUUUCGAAUAAUGAUUUAUUUUUCUGUGUGACAUGUUUGUAUUAAUUCAUCAACACUAAUUCAUCACUAAGUUAUGGAGUUCUAAUUAAUACGAGCUCUUUGUUAUUCACUGCUCUAAUCAGCUGGAGCAGAGGUGCAAGCAUUGGGCGUCAUAGUGAUGAUAACAGACCCUACCUCAAACAGCGGCACUUUGCAGUCAGGAUUCCACUUUCCAUUACUCCUCUCUUUUAUUGAAUUUUAUUUAAUACUGUUGUUGACAAUUUUGGUUCAUCAAAGGUGGUGUGCUAUUUAAAUAAUUAUGGCAAGGAUUUCAAUGGUGGACUCUUUCGUUUCCGGGAUGGCCAGCCAAUGUCAAUUAUGCCAAUGGCUGGAGAUGUUCUGAUGUAUACUGCUGACCAGCGAAACAUUCAUUCUGUUGAUGAGGUCUAGCUAAAGGUGUUGCUGUUGGAAUAUCUAUAGCUUGAACAAGUGGGGUUCUGCCAUUAUUAAUUUGUGCUUGUGUUAGAUAUUUCCAGAAGAAGGAAAAAGAAAAAAUUAAAUUGCCAACAGAAGAUUUUAUAUCAAGUUCAACCCAAGAUGCAUCUAGCAGUGGUGAAUAUGAAACUUUAGGAUCCACAGCUGCUAGUGCUUCUGGCCUUCCAGCAAUUAUGGCGGCAAAAUCGAUGGAAUUCUCUUAUCAAGAACUAGCCGAGGCUACAAAUAACUUCAGCUCUGAUAACAAAAUUGGUCAGGGUAGAUUUGCAGCAGUCUAUUUUGCAGAAUUGAGAGGCCAAGUAAAAGCAAGCCAAUUAUAUCUUUAAUAAUGUUAUAUAAUCUUCCAGAAUUAAAAGGAAAAAUAAAUUAUCUUUGACCAUUAGUAGCUUAUCUGCAUAAUUUUAUUGAUAGUUAAAGAUAGUAAAAAUGGUAGUUAGGCAUUUGGCAAACGAAUAAAAUUGAUGAGACGUGGCAAGGGACCACAUACAUAUACAUAAUAAAUAUAAUAAUAAUAAUACUAAUAAUGCUACAAGAUUAGUGGUCCUAUCUAUAUAUGAUUUUGCAAACCCUUUGAUGAAAAUUUCAAUGCUAGUUGGUGAAGAUCAACACAAAAAGUCCACAAAACAACAAAGAGGUGGUGGAGCCAUGAAGGUAUUAAUAUGUCAGCAUGAAAGGUAGCUCUAAAUUAUAAAAUGUUCUUCUAUUGUUGUGUUCUGUUCUAACCAAAAUUCACAUAGCAGAAACCCGUGAGCAUCACAGUGUAACUCUCACAAGUUUUCAUAACAGUGAGUUCCAUAUAGGAAUAAUAACAAGCAAAGAUUUUUGUAUAUAAAUCCAAGGCUAUAAUCUGCAGCUUUUGGAGUGUUUAGCAAAGUUGAAAUUAAAGAUAUCAUAUAUCUCUUGAUGAGAUAUUAGGAAGAGUUAAUUAUCUUAUGGAGAUUUCAUCUGAAUUGGUAAUAACAUAUUCAUAUCUAUAGUUUAGCACAUGUAUGUUAUCAAAAUCAAUUAUGAAAUUUUUUGCAUUAUUGUAUAUUAUGUAUAUGCAAGGUAUAAUGGAGGAUCCUAAUAGCUUUCUCUGGCACUUCAGCUCUAUUGAUACUUGUGCCUAACUACCAUUUUAACCAUUUAGUUCUUUAUCUCACACUGUUCCUGUUUAUAUCCACCGUGAUGUGAAACCUGCUAACAUAUUAAUAUAUAAGUACUUCCGUGAAAAGGUUAGUUUAUUGUAAUAUUCUUGGUAAUAAUCAUUAUUUUCCAAUUUUUGUUUUCUUUUUUCUGAUGAGACUAAUAUUAAAACUGUCUAAUAAGGUUUUGGAAAUUCACCAGGUUGCAAAUUUUGGGCUAACUAAACUUAGGGAAGUUGGAAGCUUUUUAUCACUUCAUACUCGUCUUGUGGGAACAUUUGGAUACAUGCCUCCAGUAUACUUCUGGCAAUCAAAUCAGAAGAAAACAAGCUACAAGAAGUCAUGGUUGGAUUAGCAGCAAAUGUUUUCACAUUCAUGUCCUCUCAGGAAUCAAGCUAUGUAUUUCAAGAAGCCGGAAUCAUUGAAGUU